rnacentral:rRNA from 1 species
GACGAACGCUGGCGGCGUGCCUAAUACAUGCAAGUCGACCGCAGUGGGUACGGGUGAGUACCACGUGGGUAACCUCCCCAUCAGAGGGGAUAACCCUUGGAAACAGGUGCUAAACCGAUACUGAUGGAUGGACCCGCGUUGCAUUAGCUAGUUGGGGAGGUAACGGCUGACCAAGGCCACUAUGCAUCGCCGACCUGAGAGGGGUAUCGGCCACACGGGGACGGAGACACGGCCCAGACUCCUACGGGAGGCAGCAGUAGGGAAUCUUCGGCAAUGGACGAAAGUCUGACCGAGCAACGCCGCGGGAGUGAAGAGGGUGUUCGGAUCGUAAAACGCUGUUGUUAGAGAAGCGGUAUCUAACCAGAAAGCCACGGCUAACUACGUGCCAGCAGCCGCGGUAAUUC